rnacentral:lncRNA from 1 species
GGGAUCCUGUGAAAGUCUGGAUGAUGUUAUUGAAGUCUGACUGCUUGGGCCCGUCUGUUGUAGAAGCUCAUCCAGAAUCCAUCCGCUAUGGAAGUUUGGACGGAGUCCGGUUCUUGUCGAAGGCUGAAAGGAGGCCUCUUAUCGUAGAGGCUCGGUCGAAGAUCGGUUGUCAUGGGCGCUCGGAGUAAUGACCUGGCCGAUAGAGCCUAUCUCGUUGUAGAAGCUUGUCUGGGAUCCAUCCACUGUAGGAGCUUGACUGAAAUCUGUCUAUGAUAGAAGUUCGGAAGAAAUUUGUUUAC